ensembl:lncRNA
UGAGGAACAGAGGUAACGGGAAACUCUCCCCAAAGGUAUCAGAUAUGGACUGGAACACAAAAACCAGACAAUUCCCUAUGGAUGUAUUGCACUGGAUUUACAGGACUUUGUAUAGAGGUAAAAAUUUACAAUUUGAUCUGCAAUCCUAUUCUAGAAUAUGGAUCUCUGCCAUCAUUUUCUAGUAUUUUUAUAACAUGUGAGAGGGAAAGAAAAACCUUUAAAUCCUCUUACAGAGUUCAGAUUUGUUGGGUUCAUCAAGAAGGCUUAUUGAUGAUAUACAAAGAUGAGCUUGAAAUUGCCUUAAUGAAGUUGUUGGAAUCAACAGAAAAUUAAAUUUUUUUUUUUAUGUCUCAAGUAUGUCUAGACCUUCUAGCACUCAUAGGAAUGUAAACAUUGAUUGGAACUAGUUCUAGCAGGAUGCUUCAAUAAAAAAACCAGGACAAGACUGUACAGAGGCUUAUGAGAGGAGACAAGUGGCAGUGAUAUCAUUGAAACCCUACCUAUUUAAACUUUCAUUUGGAUCCUGAGGUAUUUGACUUUGGAGACUCUUCAUUAACAAAAGAGUAGAAGGAAAUGUUGAGACUGAAUCUCAGCAAGAGAACAGGUGUGUUCCUGCUGAAUUAAUAGGAUGUAGGAUGUGCUUGAGAUAUAACCCAUCAAAUCCAGCUUACUGAUACAUAACUGUUAAAGAAAGAUGAUGUAGUCAUCUGAAGAGGUUUGGGAGAGCAAAGAUGAGGCACAAAGAUGUGAAAAAUUAUAGUGAGGUAUUCUUCCUGCCAAAAGGUACCUUUUUAAUGAGUUAAAGUUCACAGACAUAAUCCAAAUAGGAUUUUGUGCCAUACUUUAGACUGAAAGAAGAGAGAAGAAAUCCAUAGAGUUUGGGGAGAUAAGGGAUUUGAAGGAAUGUGGGAGGAAUUGGGGAGAUUCUUAAAGGAUAAAGUUGGGGCGAUAAAAUCAGGGAGGAGUGGGUUGGGAAUGCUUGAAAGAUAAAAUCAAGGAGGAGUUGGGGAAAUGCUUGAAGUAAUAAGGACAAAGUCUGGGAGAAUUGGAAUAAUAUUUGAAGGACAAAAUCAAAAAAAAAAUUUGGGGAGAGAUUAGGACAGAUUAAGGAAUGGGAGAAGACAAGCUAGAGAUGGACUCAGACUCUUCUUGUACAUGGCCACCAAAUGAUGGCAUAUGGAGUGGAUAUAUAAGGAACAGAGUAGAUUCCCAGAUCUGCUAAAUGAAGAAAUUCAAGAUAGAAAAAGAAGACUAAUGGGAAGUUGUCACCCAGUCACCCAGAACACAAAGCCUAUAUAGAACAUGAACAUGAGUUCCCAUCAAAAUGAUUCCUCUGUGGUGGAAGCACUCAGAAACUAUCUCAAAGAAAUAUUAGUUAACAGUGUCACCUCAAAAUCCAGUGACUUUUUAAAAUUUAUCACGAAUAAGUAGUUGUAUUGGGGUACAGGGGAGCAGUGAGGAAGUAGGGAGGGAGAGGUAAACCGCUAGAUGAUACAAUAGCUAAAAUACUGUCCUAGAGUCUGGAAGACUUGAAUUCAAUGUUGACUCAAAAAUUUAACUAGUUGGUGUGAUCUUAAACAAUUUUUUUGACUUUUUCCUGCCACAAUUUCCUUUUCUAUAGAUGGUUGUGAAGAUAAAAUGAGAUAGUAUGUAAAAAGCAUUUUUCAAACCUUGAGAUAGUAUGUAAAAAGCACUUCAUAAAAUAUUAGCUAAUAUUAUUUCAUAUGGGAAAAGGGAAUAUGUAUUUAUGUAGCACCUACUAUGUGUAGGAUAUUUCACUAAGCACUUUACAGAAUUAUCUCAUUUGAUCCUCACAACAAUCCUGCUAAUUAGUUAGGUGCUGUUAAUGUCCCCAUUUUUUUUAAAUGUAGCUUUUUAUUUACAAGAUAUAUGCAUGGGUAAUUUUUUUCAGCAUUGACAAUUGCCAAACCUUUUGUUCCAACUUUUCCCCUCCUCAUUCCCAACCCUUCUCCCAGAUGGCAAGUAGACCAAUACUUGGUUAUUAAAGUAAAUGUUAAAUACAAUAUAUGUAUACAUAUCCAUACAGUUAUUUUGCUGCACAAGGAGAAUCGGACUUUGAAAUAGUGUACAAUUAACCUGUGAAGGAGAUAAAAAAUGCAAGCGGACAAAAACAGAAGGAUUGGAAAUGCUGUGUAGUGGUUCACAAUCAUUUCUCAGAGUUCUUUCGCUGGGUGUAGCUGGUUCUAUUCAUUAUGAACAAAUGGAACUGAUUUGGUUCAUCUCAUUGUUGAAGAAAGCCACGUCCAUUCGAAUUGAUCAUCAUAUAAUAUUGUUGUUGAAUUUGUAAUGAUCUCCUGGUCCUGCUCAUUUCACUCAUCUUCAGUUCAUGUAAGUCUCUCCAGGUCUUUCUGAAAUCAUCCUGCUGGUCAUUUCUUACAGAACAAUAAUAUUCCAUAACAUUCAUAUAUCAUAACAUUCAUUAUUCAGCCUUUCUCCAAUUGAUGGGCAUCCACUCAAUUUCCAGUUUUUGGCCACUACAAAGAGGGCUGCCACAAACAUUCUUGCACAUACAGGUCCCUUUUCCUUCUUUAAGAUCUCUUUGGGGUAUAAGCCCAGUAGUAACACUGCUGGAUCAAAGGGUAUGCACAGUUUAAUAACUUUUUGAGCAUAGUUCCAAAUUGCUCUCCAGAAUGGCUGGAUGUAUUCACAAUUCCACCAACAAUAUAUCAAUGUCCCAGUUUUCACAUCCCCUCCAACAUUCAGCACUAUCUUUCCCUGUCAUCCUAGCCAAUCUGUAAUGUCCCCAUUUUUAUAGUUGAGGAAGUGAAACUACAGCAAACAGAGGUUAAGUAAUUUGCAAAAUGCUAUUAAGGUUCUGAGAUCAUAUUUGAACUCGGGGCUUUCUGAUUCCAAAAUACUACUUUUGUUAUUCUUUACUCAAUGGUCACUCAGAAAUACAGUCAACUGUGCUAUAAUGAAACUUAUAACACACUAAAAAUCAACACGCUAUGUAUAAUCACACAAAUUUAUCAGUGACAUUUUUAAAAAAGAAAUCUCAUCAUAAUGGUAGCAUGGUUUUAUUGCAUGUGUUAAGAAAUCAUAAAUACUACAAUACAUAGACGUGAUACCAAAACAAGUGUUAUAGGAGAAGUAACUGUACAGCAUGUCCCCAAAGUCUUAGGAACUAAGACUUUGGCACACUCCAUAUUUCUUCUUUUGUAGAACUCUCUCUCGGGCAGUGAAAAUCUGCUAAUUAAAAUCAAUGGAUACUUCCAUCUUCCUAGAAUCUAUGACAUCUCUAUUAGGAGGAGGGAAAUGUGGUUUAUUUUCUGACUUCUAGAAUAAAGCCGGACAAUUGCCUUUAAUCUGAGUUCAGCUAUUUUUAGUAUGCUUCCUUUAUAUUACAGUAAUUUGUGUGUGUGAGAGACAGUAACCUUUACCCAAAUUAAAAUCAGAGACUCUCAAGGUAAAAAGCAAAAAAAGGAUUUAGUCUGAUCUUUCAAGAAAGGGCUAUUCCCAACAGAGAGGAGUGCAAAACACAAACUGCAAAAUGUAAGAGAAGCCCCUUUUUCCCAUUGGCUAGGGAGUCCUGGCUUAUAUUCUAUUUUAAAUAUCUACCCCAGAAACAAAGAAUACUAGUCAAUAACAUAAUCUUUACUGUAUUUAGUGCUUAAAUAUUAAUGAAAUGGUCAGGGGGAGAUAGGAGGGAAAUGUAAGUUUAUCUAAGAUAAUUGAACACCUACAACUUUUAUAGCACAACUUGUUAUUGCAAAGUCUCAGGUCACAAUUAGGUAUAGGUCAAGACCACAUUGUUAUGAGAGGUCUUCACUGGGGUCAUCCCAUUCAUUUUAAAGUAUUGUUUUCAAAAUUUUUGUUUUCUUAGCUCUGUAUCAAAUCAUACAGUUGUUUCCUUGUUUUUUUGAGUUCCUCAGAUAUCUAUGAUAAUGUAAAUACACUUUUAUAAAUGUCAUUUCUGACAAAGUAAUAAUAUUCCUUUACAAAUAUACUUGUCUUAAUGGAGAGCAUGCUAGACAUAGUAUAAAAAAAAUAAAUUUGAACCAUGUCUUAUUGAGUUGUGUGAAUCUGAGCAAACCAAAUAACUACUCUGUCUUCUGUUUUUUCAUUUAGGAAAUUGCCCCUUCUUUAUAAAACUUGUGAAAAAAUAAAAAAAAAAAACAGAAUAUGUAGUUCACUAAUGUUAAGUUGAUAGAUAAAUAUUAGUUAUUACUAUUGUACUUUUCAGUGGUUCCCCAAUUGUUGUGUUCACUUUUUCCAGUUUUUAAUUACAUUUUAAAAUAUUUUAUAAUUAUGACUUUCCAAAAUCAAGAGUUAAGAUUUUAAUCAAGCUGUUAUGAGAGGUUAUAUUCUUGCAUUGUGAUUUUUAAUUGACUCUGUCUACAAAAAGCAUCUUCCAUUUUUGGAUGCUAGCAGAUAAUACUUUUCUAAAGAAAAGCCUCUGGACUGUUACUUCAUUUUGAAUAUUGCAUCUUUCUUAAAACUGCAGUCAAUGAGAUUUCCAUGUCCUUUUGUGAUUCUUUAUUUUGUUAUAUGCAAAUUAUGUUAUUUGUACAUAUACAAGCUCAGAAUGCUAUUUGGUAUAAUGAAUCAUUCAAAAUCUGAGAACUCAGAUAAACAUUACCUUUUCUCUAACCACAAGGUAAAAGAUAAUCCAUUUAAGAGGAAAAAGCAAUCCAGGAAAGCAAAAGCUGCUAGUAUAAGAAAUAAGCAGUUACCAAGGAAGUUCCCUAGAGUCCCAGGAGCUUUCCUCAAAGUCCUAAAAGUGUUUUUAUAUUCUUAUUGCCCAAAGGGCCCGGAGCUGAAGUCCAAAAAUCAAUCCACUUGGGGGCAAAAUUAACUCUGGGUCUUCUCUAGUGCAUUUUGAUUCAAAACAACGUUUGUUAUUAUGGGAGUGUGUCUAAGGGGGUAGAAGAGAGGAGUUUGAGGGGAAACUCAAGCCUCCUCAGUUCCAAAAGUGUCCUGCCCCACAAUAUUCCACUUCUAGCCUAGCCACCAAUAACCCGAGCCCAAGAGCAUCCAAUCCUCAGAAAAGCCAAUGGUCCCAUCCAAACAGCAACAGAAUGCCUAAAUGACCUCAGCUGAGUAGAAACUAUCUCCUGUUUUCUUUUCUUUUCUUUUUCAAAAUACAUGCUAAAAUAAUUUUCAAUAAAAACCUUGUAUUCAAAUUUUUCUCCUUCCCUUCCUUCUCUCUCAUCUCCUAGAUAGCAAACAUUCCAAUAUACUACUACCUUCUGUUUUCAAAACUGCUUCUCACCCUUAUGGCCAUUAUAAACACUCUUUAACCUUCCAAUUCAUUAGCAUCCUUAAAUAUUGUAACUCCUUUUAUUCCAUCUCAGGUACCCAUAGGGAAUAUUGUAGGUUAGAUCUGGCCACAAAUGCUCCAGUUUGCUAAUUACAAUCUAACAUUCUCCUGUGUGCCUCUAACCGCCUAUUUUUCCUCUUUCCCUAUGCCUCAGAACCUGUUUGUUCUUCACCCUCACUGCUUCCUCUAAUCCCUCUAACCCUUAGUGUUUUCUCAGACUUUUAUUCCUGCCUGAUUUAACACUUGAGGCACCACCUUCAGUUCUGAAGCUACUUAACCUAUAGCCUGCAUUUCAUACUGUUAGUGGAUGUUGACCACACUCUUCUGGGAUACUAUUUCCUCCCUGGGUUUUGUGAUUGUGUUUUCUUUGUCCACUCCAUACUUCUGAUUUCUGUUUCUCAAUCUAUUUUGUUUGAACAUGAUCCAUAGCCUGUUCAUUCUGGAUGCUCCCCAAGAUUCUUUCCUUGGCCCUUUCCCCCUCUUCAUCUCUUCCCUCUUGUCAACCACGUUCGCUCCUGUGAAUCUAACUAAGAACUCUAUCCAGAGGACUUUCAGACCCAAAUGUUCAGCCCCAGUUUCUCUACUGAACUUUAGGCCAGGAUCCCCAAUCACAUAUCGGACUUUUCAAUCUGAAUGUCCCAGAAUCAUCUCAAAUCGAACAUGUCCAAAACUGAACUUAUUAUCUUUCCUCCUAAAAUCCCCUUCUUCCAGACUUCUCUACCUACCAGCUUAGUUCAGGUUCCUCAUUACCUUUCAUUAGAUUGUUGCAAGUAUUGUCUCUUAAUUAGUGGUAAUUAAUCUCCCUCCCUCAAAAUUCUCCCUGACUCCAGUUAAUCUUAUGCAGUGCUGCCCAAAAAAUUUUUCUUAAGCCCCAAUAUGACGGUAUGACUUCUCUCCUUUACUUCUAUACAAAAAGGAGUUUUGUGGUACAGUGCAGAGUGUGGGCAUUUGAGUUAGAGCACAAAGUUCAAAUCCUAAUAUUGCCACUUAGACUUUUGUGGCAUUAUUUCUCUGCUUUUAACUGAAGGGACGUCUAAUGUUUUUCUGUCUUAAUGUGAUUCUAAAGUUUUUUAUAAUUUUAUGUUUAUAUAUAUUUUAUAAUUGUGUGUAUAUAUUUCUAUUUUAAUUAAUAUAAAAUUUAAAAUAAGAAUAAAUUAAUAAAAUAUAAAAUAAUCAUAAAAAUUAUAUGUAUAACUUUAUAAUUAACAAGCAGACAAGAUGCAUUUCCAUUUUUAAAGAUCAACAGGAAAUCCAGUGGUAUGGUAUUUAGUAAUCUACUUUUAUUAUUAAUAAACAGGACCCUAUGAUAAAAGCAGCUAAGAAAAUAUUGAUAGAUGGACUAGACUGCAACAUCACAUGAACAUGCAAUCCACUAAAAUAUCUAAAUCAUCUUCAUAUAGUGUAAUAUUCUUUUUUUUAAGGUUAAAAAUUUGUCAAAGAAAUAUACAAAUAAAAUUAAAUAUAAUACAAAGAAUUAUUAAUUCAUGCAUUCUGCAUAGUUUCCAAGUUUCUAUCAUAUUUCUAAAGCAUUCACAGGCUAUUCAGGUCAUUACCAUUCUCUCCACAGGUUUUUACCAUGAUUUGAGAAUCAUUCAACUUCUUGAUGCCUUAAGAAUUCCUAAGAUGUCCUUUUUCUCCCUUCUCCCUACACUCCAGGUUUUCAGAAAUCCUGCCUGAUGGUUUUCUUUGUUUGCCUCCCCAUGCUGUUGCUUGAUUUGGAAGAUUUCAUUUUCUAGCUGUACAAUAGUGUGUUCAAUCUCAUAAUUUUUACUGACAAGUGAGGACCAAAUUGACUCCAUUUCUCGUAAUUUAGAUCCAGCAGUGAGUUGCAUGUUCUUCCUGAAUAUGUUUUCUUGAUUUCUGCAGUUUCUUCUGGGCUUGUUUUCAUUAUAUACUUUCCAGGCAUUGCAACUGUGUUGUGACAUCAACGCAAGGUUUUCAGUGCGAACUGCCUGAUGCUCCAGUUGGGCCAUGGAAUUGUUUACACGUUCCUGCCAUGCAGUGAUAUCAUUCUUCUGCCCAGAAGAGGGAGGUGGAAGUUCAUGUCGUUUCAUGCUAAGCAAUUCAAUUGGUUGUCGGGCAGCCAGUCUUGCAAAUUCAUUUCUCAUAAUGUCAAUCUCAAAGGCUGAGUACUCCGGGACCGGUAGGUAGCUCAGAUAGUUCUUGGUAGGCCGGUACCUACGCAUUUCUUCCUCUACCAAGGCAACAGCAGCCUCCCUCAUGCCAGGCGCUUCGUAACCCUGAUCGAAGUAACCACUGCCUCCCCAGCGACUAGACCAGUACCCGCCAUCCUGUGGGUAAUAUAAUAUUCUCUUCUCUAAAAUAUAAAGUUCUCUGGGAGAAGGUUUCUUAGGGGGCUUCUGGAGGCAGCCUUAGUUUCAGUUCAGAGUAAUAAUCACCCCAAGUGCAGCCAGGAGUUAAAGUCCAAAUCGUUUAUUGUCUCCUUCAAAAUAUCCCGGUUAGCUUUCUUAGGGGCCUAUCUCUCUCCUUGGUUCUGAGAGCUCUUGCCACUAGUUCUUUGCCUCUGCCAGCUUCAGCCUCUAGCUCCCUCUGAAUCCAAAGCCUCCAGCCAGCACAAAGGUGGAAGUUGGAAUGACUCUGGCUCCUCCUCCCAGAGAGUGGGCUUGUGGGUUUCUGACUUGUGAAUCUCCCAAAGUCAAUCCUAGUUGAGAUGUGAACUCUAAUGUGUGAACUCUCUUAAAGGUGUGAACUCUCUUAAAGGUGUGAACUCUAAUGUGUAAACUCUCUUAAAGGUGUGAACUAAGUACUAUCAAAGAGACUUCUGUCAUGGCAACACAAAAAGUCUACAACUCUCAACUGGAAAUUAUUCAAGGAGGAGAGAGAUAGGGCUGAGCCCAACACCCACAAUAAAAUUCCAAUGGAAAGUGUGACAUAUAAGGGAUUAUGGCUGGCUUUGAUAAUAAAAUCUAAUUCCUGCAACAGAACUUCAGUGGCAGGUGGCAUCCAGACUAUAGAGGGGACAGGUGCAAACAGGGCCUGUCUACCUAAUACAAGAGCCUGGAAAAGGAUAUUAUUUAAUUCUGGCACAAAGUCCUAAUCUAGGAAUCAAUACUGGAGAUAUGAAUAAACAGAAGAAAAUUACAAAUAAAAUGGGGGGAAAAAACUGCAGAUUAAUAGAAGUCUAAAACAUAAAUCCAGAAGAAGAGAAUAAUUCUCAUAUCAAUGCAAUAAAAAUUGGUUAUUAAAAUUAAGGGACCACAGAAACAAUAAAACUAAUUGGAGACACUAAGCAAUCUUAAAGAAUGAGUAGGUUAAAGAAUAGCUUUUAGUGCUUUUAUCUCUUAGUAAAAUAAAGAACAAAUCAAUGAAUUGGGUAUGCAAUUAAAAAAAAAAAAACUAGAGAAAGCAAACUAAAAAUCCCCAAUUAAAUACUAAAUUGGAAAUCCUAAAAAUUUAAGGGGAAGAUUAACAAAAUUAAGUGUAAGAAAACCAUUGAAUUAAUAAGUAAAAAAUAGUUGGUUUUAUGGGGGGGAAAAUAAAAUAAAUUAACUAUCAGUUAAUAUGAUUAAAAAGACAGAGAAGAAAACCAAACUACAAGUAUUAAAAGUGAAAAGGUUGAAUAUACCACUAACAGGAAAUUAAAGCAAUUAUAAGGAGUUAUUUUGCCCAGUUAUAUGCCAAUAAAUAUAGUAAUUUAAAUGAAAUAGAACAUUUGCAAAAAAAUAACUUAUUUAUAUUAACAGAAGAGGAAACAGAAUAACUGAAUAGACCUAGAGUAGAAAAAAAAAUGUGAACAGGUCAUAGAAAAACUUUCAAAGGGAAAAAAAAACACACCAGGAUCAGAUGGAUUUACAAGAAAAUUCUAUUAGACAUUUAAAAACCAACUAAAUCUGACAUUAAUUACAUUAUUUGGAGUAAUAUGCAAAGAAGUGGUCCUACCAAACUCCUUUUAUGAAAUAAAUGAUACUGAUAUCUAAACUAGAAAGAAUAAAAGCAGAAAGAAAACUAUAACCCAAUUUUAUUAAUGAAUAUGGAUGCAACAGUCCUAAAUAAAAUAUUACUAGGAGAUUACAAGAUAUUACAAAGAUUAUGACCAAAUGGGAUUUAUAUCAGGAAUAAAGAGAUAGUUUGACAUAAGGAAAACUAUUAAUGAAAUUGAUUAGAUCAACAAUAAAAGAAACAAAAAAAUCAUAUGACUAUGUCAAUAGAUAAAAAAAAACUUUUUGAUAAAAUGUAAAACUCAUUUCUAUUAAAAAAUAUUGGAAAAUAUGGGCACAGAUGGAUUUUUUCUUGAAAAAAAAUAUGUAAAACCUUCAGAAAGCAUUAUUUUUAAUGGAGAUUUUACUGGCUUCCCAGUAAAGAUCAGAUGUGAAACAACAAUAACCAUAAUCACCAAUAUUAUUCAGUAUUGCAUUGAAAAACCUAGCAAUAGCAAUAAGAGAAGAAAAAGAAAUAGGAUUUAGAAUGGGAAAUGAGAUAAUAAAACUGUCCCUUUCUGUAGACAAUAUGAUAAGUACACUUGGAAAAUCCCUAAGACUCGAGUUCAGAAUAAAAUUAUAUAUUUUUAAUAAUAGCUUUUUAUUUUCAAAAUAACAUGCUAAGAUAGUUUUCUACAUUCACCAUUGCAAAACUUUGUGUUCCAAAUUUUUCUCCCUCCCCUCGACAGCAAGUAAUCCGAUAUGAGCAAUUCUUUUAAACAUUUCCACACAGAAUAAAAUUUUUAAAAGAAAGAAAAGAAAUGAAGCUAAAUGUAAAAGAUGAAAUUAGAAUUCAUGAGAGAACAAUUUGAAAGGAAAAUUAUACAUACAUACUUUCUAUUGAAGUUUGAAAGUUUGAAAACACUGGCUUAAAAGGUAAGAGGGAAAAUCUUAUUUUUAUCUGAAAAUAAACUUUAUCUGAAGUUAUCUGAAAAAUAAACUAUAUCCAACAUAACUCAGUGAUCCAUGAGCACAAAAACAAAAAUUUGAAGAACAAGUAUUUAUUCCCCAAAAAAAAUUGACCUGGAAAACAGACUGAGGAACGGAAAUUUCUAGAUUCUUGGAGCAAACAAAAAUCCUAGCUGCCGGAUUUGAAGAAAUCAUAAUUUGUUAAGAUGUAUCAGAACUGGAGUGAAGUGAAGUGAAAACUGAAAAAAUCCAAUGGUCACCCCCAAAAAAGUCCCAAGUUGAAAAUACCUAGCUUGAUAUAUCAUGGCCAUAGUUUUCUCAUCAGAAAAAAAAAAAUACUGAAAUUGGGCAUUAAGAACCAAAAAACCCCAUGCCUUAAGAAACAUAUGUACAUAUGUAUAUUGAAUAAACUUUACUGUAACAGACUCCAAUAACUUAAAAAUAUUUUUUCAUAUAAGUUUCUAAAAACAGCCGUGGGUUUUUUAGUAUUACAAACAAAAACCCUGAAAUUAAAUGACUUGUUAAAUUUAAUAGAUGAUUGAAAUGAUUUGGGAAUGAUGACUGGGAAUUGAGACCUGGUUCUUGAUAAGGUAAGAUAAAAUCUCACCUAUCAGAGCCCAAGAUUCUGAGAAAGAUUAGGGAUAGUGGGGGGUGAGGAAAAGAUUGAAGAUGAAGCAUGAUGUGGAAAUAGUAGCUGGGAAGUUUGUAAUAGUAAAUAUUAUACAGAAAUCACUGCUCUUCAAUAAUUACUAGAAGAGGUGCUAAAAAUCCUGUUUUGUGCUAGGAGAUAUUAUCCCGAAGGAAAAGACAUUUAUAGUGAUUUGUGUCAGAUUCAUUUGACAUCACAUUCAGUGUUUUGUUUUGUUUUUUUUAGAAAAGAUUAUUGCUUUUAGCAAGAAACUUUAUAGCUGACAGUUUGUACAAGCAAAAUGAUUAAUACAGAAUCUUUUUCUCCAAAUACUCAGGUACAAUGAUAAUGAAUGGGACUGAUAAAAUGAAGCUUAAUCAGUAAUGUGACUGAGUCAAAUGAUCCCUAUUCCCAGUCUUGAACCCUGGUUUACAGAGAGUCAUGUGGUCUCUAAAGGUCAGACCCUCAAGAAGUGAUGGAACCCACAAGAAUCAGACAACAUUGGUCAAGAAUGGUUAUGUCCUUUUAGUCUAUCCAAUGAAAAGGCUCAGGUCUUUUGCUUUGGAAAUCUUGGACAAACCAGAAGCUGAUUAGGUUCUAGAGGCAUAUGGCAGGAGCUGGGAUGGCUCCCAGGUGUGUAUCUGGGCCUCUACCUGAAGAUGUCUCUCAUCAGUUAAUUUGGGAAAGCUCUUCUAGCACUUGUCCCACAUAGUAGUUCCUGAUUAUGUUGAACAACUGUUGUAAAGAUUUUAAAAUACUCUUUGUAAUAUUAAAAAAAAAAUCCCAAGCUCACAUUUUCAUGUGUUGCUUUACUUUUAUUUGUAAAAAUAGCUCUUUUAACUUUCAGAUUGAGAAUCUAGUUCUAUGUUGGAUCUCAAAGAUGACUUGAUUAAAAUUCUUUUUCUUUUUUUUAAAUUUCAUUUUAGUUUUUCUAUUUUUUUACUUUGUUUCUUAAAAGAAUUUUUAUUUAAAACUAAAUGCAAAGUAAAAAAAAGAAAAAGAGAAAAAAAAAAACAUUGUCAUGUGUCCAGCAGAAAAUCAGGGAACAUUCAAAAUAUGUAACAAGAAAUUUCCAUUUUAAGAAAGUACAUAUAAAAAUAGAAAAGAUUAUAUUUAUGACUGUCCAUCUUUGCUCUCCUGCACGUUAUUCUUUUGUUCUCUGCUAUGCACUUUUUAUCUUAUUCUUUUUUCCCCCUUUCAUUCUUCACUCACUUCCCCUAAACAGGCUACUGUUAAGCCUUGAGCUCCCUGCUUGCGUUUUUUACAGUUAGUCUUGAGUGUUUCUUAGGGUCUUCUCAGAUUGUGAUUCAAUGACCCAUAUUCUGCCCCAAAUCUUACUUGUUUUUCACCAGUCUGCUUAUACCUUGAGGUAUAGUUUUGUUUUGUUUGUGGGAGAAAUCUGGAGAGCUUGGAAUUUUGUACCUAUUCUGCCAUCUUCCC